rnacentral:rRNA from 1 species
AUUGAACGCUGGCGGCAUGCCUUACACAUGCAAGUCGAACGGCAGCACGGGGCAACCUGGUGGCGAGUGGCGAACGGGUGAGUAAUGCAUCGGAACGUGCCAUUGAGUGGGGGAUAACGUAGCGAAAGUUGCGCUAAUACCGCAUAUUCUGUGAGCAGGAAAGCAGGGGACCGCAAGGCCUUGCGCUCUUUGAGCGGCCGAUGUCAGAUUAGCUAGUUGGUGAGGUAACGGCUUACCAAGGCGACGAUCUGUAGCGGGUCUGAGAGGAUGAUCCGCCACACUGGAACUGAGACACGGUCCAGACUCCUACGGGAGGCAGCAGUGGGGAAUUUUGGACAAUGGGCGCAAGCCUGAUCCUGAGUCGGAG